rnacentral:rRNA from 1 species
UACGUAGGGGGCUAGCGUUGUCCGGAAUCAUUGGGCGUAAAGCGCGUGUAGGCGGUCCGGUAAGUCCGCUGUGAAAGUCAAAGGCUCAACCUUUGAAUGUCAGUGGAUACUGCCGGGCUAGAGUCCGGAAGAGGCGAGUGGAACUCCUGGUGUAGCGGUGGAAUGCGCAGAUAUCAGGAAGAACACCAACGGCGAAGGCAGCUCGCUGGGACGGUACUGACGCUGAGACGCGAAAGCGUGGGGAGCGAACAGG